UUAGCCACAGAUAGUGUGGAAAGAACAUGAAUGCCGGCCUCAACACCCUGAUGUUCUUCUAUACCUUUAACACAUCAUCUUAAAUUGUGAUCACGCCUUCAAGAAAAAAUUCAAGAAUCGACAUUCCUCUGAGAAGCCCAAGUUCACAUUUCUGGGUUCUAUUUACUUGUGAUAUUUCAUCACAGUGGCAGGAAGCAUACAACAAAAGGCAUGAGAGUUGCUGAACAAACCUGACCCUUCUGUGCAGUUGCCUCAAAUGUGAUGACUCAUUUCAUGCGUCAGCUUGAACAGGCAAAGGAGUGCCAAGAUAUCUGUCGCUGUGAGCCCCUAUGAGUUCAGCUUAGCUGAUUCUGUGGGCUGUAUUCCGUGGCCCUAUUCAGUGUUGUCCUUGACUCCACUGACUUCUACAAUCCUUCCUUGCCUUCUUCUAGAGGAUUCCCCAAACUCCACCUAAUGUUUGGCUGUGGAUUUCUGCAUCUGUUUCCAUCAGUUGUUGCAUGAAUUC